rnacentral:rRNA from 1 species
UGAGGAAUAUUGGUCAAUGGCCGGAAGGCUGAACCAGCCAAGCCGCGUGGAGGAUGAAGGCGCUAAGCGUCGUAAACUUCUUUUGUUGAGGGACAAAAUCCGUCACGAGUGACGGACUGAGGGUACUCAAAGAAAAAGCAUCGGCUAACUCCGUGCCAGCAGCCGCGGUAAUACGGAGGAUGCGAGCGUUAUCCGGAUUUAUUGGGUUUAAAGGGUGCGUAGGCGGACUGUUAAGUCAGCGGUAAAAGCCCGGAGCUCAACUCCGGCGAGCCGUUGAAACUGGUGGUCUUGAGUUGGAGAGAAGUAGGCGGAAUGCGCGGUGUAGCGGUGAAAUGCUUAGAUAUCGCGCAGAACUCCGAUUGCGAAGGCAGCCUACCGGCUCCACACUGACGCUGAGGCACGAAAGCGUGGGUAUCGAACAGGAUUAGAUACC